rnacentral:tRNA from 1 species
GGCCCUGUAGCUCAACGGAUGGAGCACCGCUCUGGCGUAGACGGAGGUUGCAGGUUCGAAUCCUGUCAGGGUCA